AAUUUCAAGAUAACAGUUUGGUCUUCCUCGCGAAUAUAUAAACAACAAUACUGAAAACCCGCAUGCUAAAAAUAUGAAGAACAUAUCGAUGAAAAAAUCCAAGAGAUUUAUAACUCUCCUGUUAAUGGCUGCCUCUGUCUGUCUGCUUUUUUGGAGGAGAAGACAAUCUAUCAACCAAGUGAAGACUUUAUCCUUGAAAUCCUCCGGCCUCGCUCGACCUCCCUUGACCUCUGAUCUGGCCUCCGUACGGGUCAAUCCAGGUCCUAUUAAGGUCGAUUUUGCCUCCACGAUCGACCUGGCUUCGCGCUCUGUCGAUGUUCCUCCCCCUCUUCCUCUUCUUCCUCCUCUCCCUCCUUCUCCUCCUUCUUCUCCUCUUCCUCCUCCUCUUCCUCCUUCUCCUCUU